GUAACAUUUCUAGCUUGCUAGAAGAUGACGAGUGGCGGACGGGUGAGUAAUGCUUGGGAACUUGCCUUUGCGAGGGGGAUAACAGUUGGAAACGACUGCUAAUACCGCAUAAUGUCUACGGACCAAACGGGGCUUCGGCUCCGGCGCAAAGAGAGGCCCAAGUGAGAUUAGCUAGUUGGUAAGGUAACGGCUUACCAAGGCGACGAUCUCUAGCUGUUCUGAGAGGAAGAUCAGCCACACUGGGACUGAGACACGGCCCAGACUCCUACGGGAGGCAGCAGUGGGGAAUAUUGCACAAUGGGGGAAACCCUGAUGCAGCCAUGCCGCGUGUGUGAAGAAGGCCUUCGGGUUGUAAAGCACUUUCAGUUGUGAGGAAAAGUUAGUAGUUAAUACCUGCUAGCCGUGACGUUAACAACAGAAGAAGCACCGGCUAACUCCGUGCCAGCAGCCGCGGUAAUACGGAGGGUGCGAGCGUUAAUCGGAAUUACUGGGCGUAAAGCGCACGCAGGCGGUUUGUUAAGCUAGAUGUGAAAGCCCCGGGCUCAACCUGGGAUGGUCAUUUAGAACUGGCAGACUAGAGUCUUGGAGAGGGGAGUGGAAUUCCAGGUGUAGCGGUGAAAUGCGUAGAUAUCUGGAGGAACAUCAGUGGCGAAGGCGACUCCCUGGCCAAAGACUGACGCUCAUGUGCGAAAGUGUGGGUAGCGAACAGGAUUAGAUACCCUGGUAGUCCACACCGUAAACGCUGUCUACUAGCUGUGUGUGUCUUUAAGGCGUGCGUAGCGGAAGCUAACGCGCUAAGUAGACCGCCUGGG
rnacentral:rRNA from 1 species